CCUCCAUCUAUUCUUAUAAGUUUUUGUUCAUAGCAUUUAUAGAGUGAAAGUAAGUAAAAUGUAUCAACAGCAAGCUCCUGAAGGUUAUCCUCCGCCGGGAUAUACUCCACAAGGUUAUCCCCUACCACCACCACCACCACCACCGCAACCUCAAUCUAUCUACAUUCAGCCGCCGCCUCAGCCAGCUCCGGCUCAAAGUAACGAUGGCUGCUUGAAGGCUUGUUUUGGUGCUGUUCUCUGCUGCUGCUGUUUGGAGAUGUGCUGCGAUAUGUUUUAACUGAAGAUGCCAUGAGAGUGUUUAAUAUUUAUUUUAAUGCAGUUAAUAAUGCCAAAGUGUAACAGUUAAUGCCGCUUUUCUUGUGGUAAUUAUUUAUGAAUAUUGAUU